ensembl:snRNA U6 U6 spliceosomal RNA
UUGCUUUGGCAGCACAUAUACUAAAACUGUAAUGAUACAGAGAAGAUUAGCAUAGCCUCUGCACAAGAAUGGCAUGCAAAUUCAUGAAGCAGUUCAUAUUAAA